rnacentral:rRNA from 1 species
CCUACGGGGGGCUGCAGUGGGGAAUAUUGGACAAUGGGGGCAACCCUGAUCCAGCCAUGCCGCGUGUGUGAAGAAGGCCCUCGGGUUGUAAAGCACUUUCAGUGAGGAAGAACGCCUGGUGGUUAAUACCCAUCAGGAAAGACAUCACUCACAGAAGAAGCACCGGCUAACUCCGUGCCAGCAGCCGCGGUAAUACGGAGGGUGCGAGCGUUAAUCGGAAUUACUGGGCGUAAAGCGCGCGUAGGUGGCUUGAUAAGCCGGUUGUGAAAGCCCCGGGCUCAACCUGGGAACGGCAUCCGGAACUGUCAAGCUAGAGUGCAGGAGAGGAAGGUAGAAUUCCCGGUGUAGCGGUGAAAUGCGUAGAGAUCGGGAGGAAUACCAGUGGCGAAGGCGGCCUUCUGGACUGACACUGACCCUGAGGUGCGAAAGCGUGGGUAGCAAACAGGAUUAGAUACCCCAGUAGUC